rnacentral:rRNA from 1 species
UGGGGAAUAUUGCACAAUGGGCGCAAGCCUGAUGCAGCCAUGCCGCGUGUGUGAAGAAGGCCUUCGAGUUGUAAAGCACUUUCAGCGAGGAGGAAGGUGGUGAACUUAAUACGUUCAUCAAUUGACGUUACUCGCAGAAGAAGCACCGGCUAACUCCGUGCCAGCAGCCGCGGUAAUACGGAGGGUGCAAGCGUUAAUCGGAAUUACUGGGCGUAAAGCGCACGCAGGCGGUUUGUUAAGUCAGAUGUGAAAUCCCCGGGCUCAACCUGGGAACUGCAUUUGAAACUGGCAAGCUAGAGUCUCGUAGAGGAGGGUAGAAUUCCAGGUGUAGCGGUGAAAUGCGUAGAGAUCUGGAGGAAUACCGGUGGCGAAGGCGGCCCCCCUGGACGAAGACUGACGCUCAGGUGCGAAAA